GACUUUCAGAGUCAGCUGAAGACGGACGGACUGUUCAGAACAUCACAUUGUUGGACUGGAGAAAGAGCCUCAUUUAAAAGCACAAGUUAUUCAGCAAAUUUCUUGGUUACCUUAAGGGCUUCAACUAACCAAGCUUCAACUGGCAGAUUCUCAACCAUUUCCUGAAAGGUGAGAUAUAUGCAAUGUCAUUUUAGUCCAUCACUGUUUUUAAAAGCAUAUUCAAAA